CGGGGUGUGGCCCAGUUGGUAAGGCGCCUGGUUUGGGACCAGGAGAUCGCUGGUUCGAGUCCAGUCACCCCGA
rnacentral:tRNA from 1 species